rnacentral:rRNA from 1 species
GGACGAACGCUGGCGGCGUGCUUAACACAUGCAAGUCGAGCGGAAAGGCCACUUCGGUGGUACUCGAGCGGCGAACGGGUGAGUAACACGUGAGUAAUCUGCCCCUCACUUUGGGAUAGCCACCGGAAACGGUGAUUAAUACCGGAUAUGACCAUAUGUCGCAUGGCGUGUGGUGGAAAGUUUUUCGGUGAGGGAUGUGCUCGCGGCCUAUCAGCUUGAUGGUGAGGUAAUGGCUCACCAUGGCUUCGACGGGUAGCCGGCCUGAGAGGGUGACCGGUCACACUGGGACUGAGACACGGCCCAGACUCCUACGGGAGGCAGCAGUGGGGAAUAUUGGACAAUGGGCGGAAGCCUGAUCCAGCAACGCCGCGUGAGGGAUGACGGCCUUCGGGUUGUAAACCUCUUUCAGUACCGACGAAGCGCAAGUGACGGUAGGUACAGAAGAAGCACCGGCCAACUACGUG